GAGGGGGCAACUCCUCUAGUAAAGUGGCGCACGGGUGCGUAACACGUAGGUGAACUACCCUCCGAUGGGGGACAACCGGCCGAAAGGCUGGCUAAUACCGCGUAAGUCAACGGGGCAUUCGAGCUCUGUUGGGAAAGCGGCCCUCUUCACGAAAGGUCGCGUCGGAGGUUGUGCCUGCGGCCCAUCAGCUAGUUGGUGAGGUAAUGGCUCACCAAGGCUAAGACGGGUAGCUGGUCUGAGAGGAUGAUCAGCCACACUGGAACUGAGACACGGUCCAGACUCCUACGGGAGGCAGCAGUGGGGAAUAUUGGACAAUGGGCGCAAGCCUGAUCCAGCCACGCCGCGUGAGUGAUGAAGGCCUUCGGGUCGUAAAGCUCUGUGGGGAGGGACGAAUAAACUGCGGGUAAACAAUCCGCGGCCACGACGGUACCUCCUUAGCAAGCCCCGGCAAACUUCGUGCCAGCAGCCGCGGUAAUACGGGGGGGGCAAACGUUGCUCGGAAUCACUGGGCGUAAAGCGUGUGUAGGCGGUCCAACUUGUCGAAUGUGAAAUACCUUGGCUUAACCAAGGAACUGCAUUGGAAACGGUUGGACUUGAGUACCGGAGGGGAUGACGGAAUUCCCGGUGUAGUGGUGAAAUACGUAGAUAUCGGGAGGAACACCUGUGGCGAAGGCGGUCAUCUGGACGGAUACUGACGCUGAGUACACGAAAGCGUGGGGA
rnacentral:rRNA from 1 species